GGAAGACGGUGCAAAUCCGUCGCAGACGCGCUGCUGUGACCGGGAAACAUGCCGGCUGUGCCCACUGGGUCCAAGGACCUGGGAAGGAUGCGGCCACCACGGCAGGGGGAACGUGCCCCCGCCCGGAAGCCAGAAGAC
rnacentral:ncRNA from 2 species